CAGUAGCCGCGGGAAUACGAAGGGUGCAAGCGUUACUCGGAAUUACUGGGCGUAAAGCGUGCGUAGGUGGUGGUUUAAGUCCGUUGUGAAAGCCCUGGGCUCAACCUGGGAAUUGCAGUGGAUACUGGGUCACUAGAGUGUGGUAGAGGAUAGUGGAAUUUCCGGUGUAGCAGUGAAAUGCGUAGAGAUCGGAAGGAACAUCUGUGGCGAAGGCGACUAUCUGGGCCAACACUGACACUGAGGCACGAAAGCGUGGGGAGCAAACAGGAUUAGAUACCUCUGUAGUCCCUGUCUCUUAUAC
rnacentral:rRNA from 1 species